UAUUUUUGAGUUUGAAAUUGAACAUAUUAAAGGAACUGAUAAUUCCAUCGCUGAUUUUCUAACCAGAGAAUUUUUGCAGGGAACACCAUGAACAAGGAUAAAGGCAAGGAAGAAACACCAAAAGUCUCUUUAAGACAAAAAGCCAAUUUGACCAAUGCAAAUAUCAAUUUAUUUUCGGGACAAAGUCCUCGACCAAAUUUAAACUUAUCAUCAAUAUCAGGACAAAGUCCUAGACAAAAUGCAUACAUGCAUAGGCCCAUGUUUACUAGUAGUACAAGUAUAGUGAG
rnacentral:lncRNA from 1 species